CCUACGGGAGGCAGCAGUGAGGAAUAUUGGUCAAUGGACGAGAGCCUGAACCAGCCAAGUAGCGUGAAGGAUGACUGCCCUAUGGGUUGUAAACUUCUUUUAUAUGGGAAUAAAAUGUUCCACGUGUGGGAUUUUGUAUGUACCAUAUGAAUAAGGAUCGGCUAACUCCGUGCCAGCAGCCGCGGUAAUACGGAGGAUCCGAGCGUUAUCCGGAUUUAUUGGGUUUAAAGGGAGCGUAGGUGGGUUGUUAAGUCAGUUGUGAAAGUUUGCGGCUCAACCGUAAAAUUGCAGUUGAAACUGGCAGUCUUGAGUACAGUAGAGGUGGGCGGAAUUCGUGGUGUAGCGGUGAAAUGCUUAGAUAUCACGAAGAACUCCGAUUGCGAAGGCAGCUCACUGAACUGCAACUGACACUGAGGCUCGAAAGUGUGGGUAUCAAACAGGAUUAGAUACCCUUGUAGUC
rnacentral:rRNA from 1 species